rnacentral:rRNA from 1 species
AUAUUUCACAAUGGGCGAAAGCCUGAUGCAGCGACGCCGCGGGGGGGAUGAAGGCCUUCGGGUUGUAAACCCCUUUCAGCAGGGAAGAAGCGAGAGUGACGGUACCUGCAGAAGAAGCGCCGGCUAACUACGUGCCAGCAGCCGCGGUAAUACGUAGGGCGCAAGCGUUGUCCGGAAUUAUUGGGCGUAAAGAGCUUGUCGGCUGUCAGUUGCGUCUGCUGUGAAACCCCGAGGCUAAACCUCGGGCCUGCAGUGGGUACGGGCUGAAUAGAGUGUGGUAGGGGAGACUGGAAUUCCUGGUGUAGCGGUGGAAUGCGCAGAUAUCAGGAGGAACACCGAUGGCGAAGGCAGGUCUCUGGGCCACAACUGACGCUGAGGAGCGAAAGCAUGGGGAGCGAACAG